CCGAGGUGGAUUAAGGGGAGGCCGAGGCCGGGGAUACUCUGGUGGUCAAAGGGCAAAUGUGGCAGUCUCAGAAGAAGGAUCCUCACUCGCAACCCAAGAAGAAUCAAAGAAAAUAACAGAAAGCACAGGUGAUAAGGAUCAUGAGGAUUGUAGUUAUGGCAACUUUGCUCACUUUGUAUCUACAGAUGAAGGAGAGGCAAACGGGGAAGAGGCUUGGGACUGGAACCAGGCGUAAUGGGCUAUGGUACAUGGAUCGCGAGGUGCCAAAUAAUGCGGUGUCUAUGAUGUUAGCAACAAUGAUGGGAGAAAAGGAAACAAAGGUAAUGCUUCACCAUUGUAGAAUGGACAUAUGUCUUUUGAGAAGAUGAGUAAAGUCUUUCCCGAUGUAAUGUGUGGGGUGGAUAAGAACAAGCUUGUGUGUGAUGCAUGUGAGUUUGCUAAACACACAAGGACAUCUUAUGUGAGUAAGGGUCUUAGGAGUAUUUCCCCUUUUAUGCUUGUUCACUCAGAUGUGUGGACAUGUCCUGUUAUCUCUCUAAGUGGAAUGAAGUACUUUGUUACAUUCAUUGAUUGCUA